AUUGAACGCUGGCGGCAGGCCUAACACAUGCAAGUCGAGCGGUAGCACAGAGAGCUUGCUCUCGGGUGACGAGCGGCGGACGGGUGAGUAAUGUCUGGGAAACUGCCUGAUGGAGGGGGAUAACUACUGGAAACGGUAGCUAAUACCGCAUAACGUCGCAAGACCAAAGAGGGGGACCUUCGGGCAUCUUGCCAUCAGAUGUGCCCAGAUGGGAUUAGCUAGUAGGUGGGGUAACGGCUCACCUAGGCGACGAUCCCUAGCUGGUCUGAGAGGAUGACCAGCCACACUGGAACUGGGACACGGUCCAGACUCCUACGGGAGGCAGCGGUGGGGAAUAUUGCACAAUGGGCGCAAGCCUGAUGCAGCCAUGCCGCGUGUAUGAAGAAGGCCUUCGGGUUGUAAAGUACUUUCAGCGGGGAGGAAGGCGAUAAGGUUAAUAACCUUGUCGAUUGACGUUACCCGCAGAAGAAGCACCGGCUAACUCCGUGCCAGCAGCCGCGGUAA
rnacentral:rRNA from 1 species